GACGAACGCUGGCGGCGUGCUUAACACAUGCAAGUCGAACGGAAAGGCCCUGCUUUUGUGGGGUGCUCGAGUGGCGAACGGGUGAGUAACACGUGAGUAACCUGCCCUUGACUUUGGGAUAACUUCAGGAAACUGGGGCUAAUACCGGAUAGGAGCUCCUGCUGCAUGGUGGGGGUUGGAAAGUUUCGGCGGUUGGGGAUGGACUCGCGGCUUAUCAGCUUGUUGGUGGGGUAGUGGCUUACCAAGGCUUUGACGGGUAGCCGGCCUGAGGGGGUGACCGGCCACAUUGGGACUGGGAUACGGCCCAGACUCCUACGGGAGGCAGCAGUGGAGAAUAUUGCACAAUGGGCGGAAGCCUGAUGCAGCAACGCCGCGUGCGGGAUGACGGCCUUCGGGUUGUAAACCGCUUUCGCCUGUGACGAAGCGUGAGUGACGGUAAUGGGUAAAGAAGCACCGGCUAACUACGUG
rnacentral:rRNA from 1 species